UGCAGUACUUUACACAAUUUAAGGCUUGC
rnacentral:piRNA from 1 species